ACUUUUUUUUUUUUUUUUUUUUUUUUUUUUGCUAUUGGCCUAUAGGUCAUCUCAGCAUUAUCAAAACUAAGUUUGAUAACUUACAUUCUAUUUGCAUACGGCUUUUAACUUGUUAGGAAUGGAAAUCCACCUUUUUGAAGUUCCACUGUGUUACAGAGUCUUUACAAGUUCCAAUCUUGUAAACUAGGUAUGAUUAUCCCUUUUUAUGGAUAAGGAAACUCAUGUUCAGAAACUUAAGUAAUCUUCUCAAUGAUAUAUAUCUAGCAACUGGUCGAACCAGGAUUCAAAUUUUAUGUCUAAUAAUUGUGAACAAAAUCCAUCAAAUAACCAUCCAAAACCCAGCCUGUGAACGCAUUUAAAGAAAUUUUGCUCUAGAAUCAGCACUGAUUUUCAACUCUGCUGUCUUCUGUGAACAUUGCAUAAUAAACUAACACUAAGUCAAACACAGACCAUGUUCCCACCCAAGUCAGCCUUGGUUCCCAAGCACAAGUCGCUUUCAGAAUAGCUUGUUGUUGAAGCAGGAAAAAAAAAAUUGUGCUUGAUUUGGCCUUGAGUAGCAAUGUGAAUUAUAAAGGAAGUUAAGCAUGGCUUGCUAGAAGAGUCCCAGCGGUGCUGGUGCUUCUAUAGAAUUAAUUGGAGAGUCUUUUUUUUUUUGAAGUCCCAGGCAGCCAAUGAGUGAAAAUGCAUAAUUUAUGCAAGUGUUGGGGAAAAGGCACACCUGUGCCAAGAUAAGAUUUUCCUAUCUUGGAUGAGUGGGAAGUUUAAUUUUUCUGCAAAAAUAAAUUGGAAGCCUAAAUAUUAGAACUUAUGGGGAAGAGUUAUGCCUUCUAAUGUAUUUAAAUAAACGUGAGGUUCUUUUGUUCCUUUUCCCAGUCUAUUUUAUCCUUUAAAAGACACAAGUCACGGGGAGCAUGUUAAAUGUCAAAGAAACUAUGUAAACUGGUAGAUGUUAAUUAACUCUGCCAGACAAAACAGUUGCAGGAUUGGAUAAAUGAGGAAAUCCAUCAUCUAAGAAGUUAUAUGCAAGAACGGAAGGGAUGAGAAGUCAUUCUCAUACACAAAACUUCUCAAUUCUCCUGUGUCUGGAUGAAGGCCAUAGACAUUUUAUGAAUUUAAAGUGGGAGCACCAAAAAUGUCAUUGGAGUGCUUAUUUCUUCAAGCUUGGUGUGUUAUAAAUGUCAUCUAGGGACGAUGCCAUACCAGUAGGAAGAUAUCAUUUACAGCGUGUUCUAGACACUGAAACCAUUUCAGUCACAGAUAAAUAUCUUCCCAAGGGUUUGGUUUGCAAAAAGAAAAAAA
rnacentral:lncRNA from 1 species